rfam:Prevotella melaninogenica ATCC 25845 chromosome I, complete sequence.
GCGGCAAUAGCUCAGUUGGUAGAGCACGACCUUGCCAAGGUCGGGGUCGCGAGUUCGAGCCUCGUUUGCCGCU